UACGUAGGGAGCAAGCGUUGUCCGGAAUUAUUGGGCGUAAAGAGCUCGUAGGCGGUUCGUCGCGUCGGCUGUGAAAUCCCGAGGCUCAACCUCGGGUCUGCAGUCGAUACGGGCGGACUGGAGUACUGCAGGGGAGACUGGAAUUCCCGGUGUAGCGGUGAAAUGCGCAGAUAUCGGGAAGAACACCCGUGGCGAAGGCGGUUCUCUGGGACGGUACUGACGCUGAGACGCGAAAGCGUGGGGAGCGA
rnacentral:rRNA from 1 species